UGUGUCGUGUGUCAUCAUGGAAGCGAAACUGCGUGGUUCAAUGCUGUUGUUUGUUUAUUGAAAACCGGCUGUUAGAUUGCUGGAAACUUUAUAAUCAUGUGAAGGUUUCCCUAACGUAAUCGGUGCUUUGGACUGCACACAGAUAAAGAUUCAAGCCCCAUCUCAAUUUGAGGAUGAUAUGUCUGUCGCAAAUCCAUUCACAGCAUCAAUGUUCAGAUGAUAUGUGAUGCUGAUCGCAUUGCCACAAACCUUGUAGCCAAAUGGCCGGGAAGUGUUCACGACAGUCAAAUAUUCAAGGUGUUGUCCAUUGGCCGAGAACUUGCUAACCAAGCUCCACAUGAUGGAUUCCUUUGGGGAGACAAAGGUUAUGCACUUGAACCGUACCUGAUGACACCUUAUCGGAAUCCAACACCUGAAGAAGCCAGAUAUAAUGCCGCCCAAGCACGAACCAGGACACGAGUUGAGCAGGCCUUUGGCAUUUUAAAGAGGCGGUUCCAUUGCUUGCACGAUGAAAUUCGGCUGGUCCCAGAACAGGCCUGUAAAGUGAUAGUCUGCUGUGUAAUCCUCAACAACAUUGCACUGAAGCGGCAGGAUGUGAUGGAGCCACUUUUGGAGAAUCAAUAUAACCUUGAUCCCAUUGAUGACGAUACUGUAACUGGAAGGGUUGUAAGAGAUCAUUUGCGUGAUACCUUCUUUCAUUUCUGAUUGUGCAAGCAUGCAAGUGUUUUUUAUGAUAUUUUAAGAGGAAACCUGAGUGAGUUGGCCAUAAAAUUGCAUUUAAAAGAAUACAUGUGUUAGGGGCAAAAUCCGUGUGCUAUGUGAAUCUAUGCCUUUUAUAGGUACGAAAAAUAGUAUUCAAAACUUUGGUUCAUAGAUCUUGUACUGUUUGGCAUGUUUGAUAUUUGUACUUUUUGUGGCAAAUUUGGAUGUUUUUGAUAGAAUGUCUGACAGAUCAGGGCUCGGUUGCACAGUCAGCA